rnacentral:rRNA from 1 species
UACGUAGGGGGCAAGCGUUGUCCGGAAUCAUUGGGCGUAAAGAGCGCGUAGGCGGUCUGUUGCGUCAGGAGUGAAAACUCGGGGCUUAACCCCGAGCCUGCUUCUGAUACGGGCAGACUAGAGGUAUGCAGGGGAGAACGGAAUUCCUGGUGUAGCGGUGAAAUGCGCAGAUAUCAGGAGGAACACCUGAGGCGAAGGCGGGCUACUGGGCUGAUACUGACGCUGAUGCGCGAAAGCCAGGGGAGCGAACGGG